rnacentral:rRNA from 1 species
AACGAACGCUGGCGGCGUGGAUAAGACAUGCAAGUCGAACGGGAACUUCAGCUGUAGCAAUACAGUUGAAGUUUUAGUGGCGAACGGGUGCGUAACACGUGGGCAAUCUGCCGAGAAGUGGGGGAUAGCUCGCCGAAAGGCGAAUUAAUACCGCAUAUGAUCAGCUAAGACAUCUUAGCGACAUCAAAGCCGGGGCAACCUGGCGCUUUUUGAGGAGCCCGCGGCCUAUCAGCUAGUUGGUGAGGUAACGGCUCACCAAGGCUAUGACGGGUAGCUGGUCUGAGAGGACGACCAGUCACACUGGAACUGAGACACGGUCCAGACACCUACGGGUGGCAGCAGUCGAGAAUUUUUCUCAAUGGGGCAACCCUGAAGGAGCGACGCCGCGUGGAGGAUGAAGGCUUCCGGGUUGUAAACUCCUGUCAUUU